rnacentral:rRNA from 1 species
GUAGCUGGUCUGAGAGGAUGACCAGCCACACUGGAACUGAGACACGGUCCAGACUCCUACGGGAGGCAGCAGUGGGGAAUAUUGGACAAUGGGGGAAACCCUGAUCCAGCAAUGCCGCGUGUGUGAAGAAGGCCUGAGGGUUGUAAAGCACUUUCAGUGGGGAGGAGGAUUGMUAGGUUAAGAGCCAGGUAAUUGGACGUUACCCACAGAAGAAGCACCGGCUAACUCCGUGCCAGCAGCCGCGGUAAUACGGAGGGUGCAAGCGUUAAUCGGAAUUACUGGGCGUAAAGGGUGCGUAGGUGGUUAGGUAAGUUAUCUGUGAAAGCCCCGGGCUCAACCUGGGAAGGUCAGAUAAGACUGCUUGACUCGAGUAURG